UACGUAGGGUGCGAGCGUUGUCCGGAAGUAUUGGGCGUAAAGAGCUCGUAGGCGGUCUGUCGCGUCGGUCGUGAAAACUUGGGGCUUAACCCUGAGCUUGCGGUCGAUACGGGCAUGACUGGAGUUCGGUAGGGGAGACUGGAAUUCCUGGUGUAGCGGUGAAAUGCGCAGAUAUCAGGAGGAACACCGGUGGCGAAGGCGGGUCUCUGGGCCGAUACUGACGCUGAGGAGCGAAAGCGUGGGGAGCAAACAGG
rnacentral:rRNA from 1 species